GCGUUGUUCGGAUUUACUGGGCGUAAAGGGCGCGUAGGCGGCGUAUCAAGUCACUUGUGAGAUCUCCGGGCUUAACUCGGAACGGUCAAGUGAUACUGAUGUGCUAGAGUACAGAAGGGGCAAUCGGAAUUCUUGGUGUAGCGGUGAAAUGCGUAGAUAUCAAGAGGAACACCAGAGGCGAAGGCGGAUUGCUAGGCUGAUACUGACGCUGAGGCGCGAAAGCUAG
rnacentral:rRNA from 1 species